GAUGAACGCUGGCGGCGUGCCUAAUACAUGCAAGUCGAGCGAAAAGACGAGGAGCUUGCUCCUCUGUCGUUAGCGGCGGACGGGUGAGUAACACGUGGAUCACCUAACUAUCAGACUGGGAUAAAUUCGGGAAAACGGCGCUAAUACCGGAUAAUAUAUUGAACCGUAUGGUUCAAUAGUGAAAUACGGUUUUGCUGUCACUUAUAGAUGGAUACGCGCGGCAUUAGCUAGUGGGUAAGGUAACGGAUUACCAGGGGAACGAUGCGUAGCCGACCUGAGAGGGUGAUCGGCCGCACUGGAACUGAGACACGGACCAGGCUCCUACGGGAGGGAGCAGUAGGCAAUCGGCCGCAAUGGGCGAAAACCUGACGGAACAGCGCCACGCGAGUUGUGAAGGUCUUCGGAUCGUAAAACUCUGUUUUGAGGGAAGAACAAAUUUGUAAGGAACUAUGCUCGGCGUGACGGUACCGAAUCAGAAAGCCACGGCUAACUACGUG
rnacentral:rRNA from 1 species